rnacentral:rRNA from 1 species
UACGUAGGGUGCAAGCGUUGUCCGGAAUCAUUGGGCGUAAAGAGCUCGUAGGCGGUCUGUCGCGUCUGCUGUGAAAACCUGGGGCUUAACCCUGGGCUUGCAGUGGGUACGGGCAGACUAGAGUGCGGUAGGGGAGACUGGAAUUCCUGGUGUAGCGGUGAAAUGCGCAGAUAUCAGGAGGAACACCGGUGGUGUAGACGGCUCUCUGGACCGUAACUGACGCUGAGGCACGAAAGCGUGGGUAGCAAACAGG